rnacentral:rRNA from 1 species
AUUGAACGCUGGCGGCAGGCCUAACACAUGCAAGUCGAGCGAGCGGCGGACGGGUGAGUAAUGUAUGGGGACUGCCCGCUAGAGGGGGAUAACUACUGGAAACGGUAGCUAAUACCGCAUACUAUCGGAUAACCCAUAUGGGAUUAGCUAGUAGGUGAGGUAAUGGCUCACCUAGGCGACGUUCCCUAGCUGGUUUGACAGGAUGAUCAGCCACACUGGGACUGAGAAACGGCCCAGACCCCUACGGAGGCAGCAUGGGGGAAUAUUGCACAAUGGUCGCAAGCCUGAUGAAGCCAUGCCGCGUGGAUGAAGAAGGCCCUAGGGUUGUAAAGUACUUUCAGUCGGGAGGCGUUACCGACAGAAGAAGCACCGGCUAACUCCGUGCCAGCAGCCGCGGUAAUAC